rnacentral:lncRNA from 1 species
UGUGCUUGGUGCAUAUUACCCCUUCAUAAAAGAGUGUUGUCUUAAGACAUUGAUGUUGAUGUAUAGCUGCAUCCAAAUUUGAUGGUGUGAAAUUGGAGUGUUGAUUGCAACUAUGACAUGCUUUGAGCUUCAUUACAUGUUGUUUCAUGCUUGAUGUCAGGUCGUGUAGUUUCCUUAGACAAUUAGUCCAAGGUAGAAGUUCUUGUGUUAAUUAAGACCAAUAAUGGACCCAUGUUUUGAAUUGUGGUGCUAUAUGGGGUACCUUGGGUGUUUUGCUUGGAGUGGCCGAAUUCGAGGUCGAAUUCUUUUUUAAGGGGGGUAGAGUGUAAUAUCCCAAACAAAAAUGUUGACCAAAAGUUAAUCUCUGGUGCGUGGAUGAGGUAAAGGGUUGUGGGCCAUUGGAUGCAAAGAUAGAAGUCAUCUGAGGCGUCGUUUCUUUCUCCCACAAAAACCCUAGGUGGCCACCCCUUUUUUCCCUUCACCCCCCCUCUUGGCCGCCACCCCCUUUUUCUCCCCCUUGGCUGGACGCCCCCUCCCCCUAUGGCAGCCAUCCUCCUUUGCUUCCUCCCCCAAGAUCUCCCCCUACGCAACAAGGAUCGAGAAAAGGAGGGGCACGUUGAAUUGAAGAGGAAGAGAGGAUCAAGGAGAUGUUCUUCCCCAUCUCCUCUUGAAGAUUUCUUGGGGAAACCCUAGGUAUGGAUGAGAUCCUUGUUCCUCCCUGUAAUUAUAGGCUUUUGGAGGUUGUGGAUCUUGGGAAUUAAAGGAUUAGAGGUUGGAUUUGAUGUGGGGUUAGGUUUUGAUCUCGAAUUUAGUUUUCUGCAGAAUGGCAGAUUCGACAGUUUCUGUUCAUGCCAGUUUUCUGUGGUCUUAGUGGCCUCAAAAAAAUAAAAAAGUCUAUGUAUGAGUCGUAGAUAAUUUGUAGAUCUUUCCGUGGCCGCGAAGAACACCUCAAUCGGACAUCCGACCAGAAAGUUAUUGCAGUUUUACUAUAGCAGUUUUUCAGUCUCAUAAUUCUGUGCAGAAUCUGUUCUCUUAAGAUUUAGGCAAUUUUAUCAACAUAAUUAAACUGUGGGUUGGUAAAAGAAGUUGUAGAUAAUUUUAUAAGCUUUCCAUAUUGUUAAAGAGUGCAUUCAUAUGAUUUGUGAAACUCCAGUUAUGUUUGUUUUACUGUGGCUGUUCCUGUUUACCUGACAAAAAUGAGUGGGUCUGUUCACUGGUGGGUUUCAUCUAGUAAAUGGCCGAAUUGGCUCUUCCAACUAUGGAGACUUUUGUAGAGGGAUAAAAGUUCUUACUUCCAGCAGAAUUUCAUAAUUUUUGGUUCCGCAGUUUUGGAGAUAUCGAAUUUUAAAGUUAACCAUACUGCUGUCUAAAACAGAUUCAGUCAGUUAUCUUGUCAGAUGUUUUAGAACUUGUAGAUGGCAGAAUUUAAUUAUCUAUUGAAUACUGAAGUUGUAGAGUAUUUUGUGUAGAUACUCCUAGAGUAUUUGUUUGAUAUCACCGCUGUUUUAAUUUUAAAGAUACAAAAUUAACAAACAGCGUUGCUGCUGUAUGGCAUGUGGUUCAGGGUGGGAGUCUUUCCACUGGGUCUUGGUUUCAAGUGUAGGAGUGUUUUGUUGAUUGAUGGCAAAUGUUUGUGAAAUAUUUGUACUAAGUUUUAUGCCCACUAGCAGGUGGCUACACUCCAGAUCAUGUCUAGUACAUUUCUUCUUCUUCGAUGAAGGCAAGUGAAUGUAGCGGUGGUUGCUUCCGUUCUGACCUGUUAUUUCUAUCGCCUACACUCUAAUAUUCAGAAGUAUCAGAUUCUUUCAUAAUUGGACUCUAUGGUGAUGCUUUACUUGCUUGCAUUAUACUGAUGCUCAAUCAUAUAUUGAUGAUGAUUAUGAUUUUAGUAUGACUCAUGAGAUUAAUUCACACCCCUGAAGGUAAAUGAAGUAUUAUUUGAGGUUGGUAUUGUAUCUGAAGGUAAAUGAAGUAUUAUUUGAGGUUUGUGUUGUAUCUGAAGGAAGUGAAGUUUAUUGAUAAAUGUAGCAUGCCAUAUACAUUGCAUGACUCAUUUGCAUAUGAAGUUUUGUCGUGACCUAUGGUCCGACCGUACCGGUACAACUUAGCAUCGUACGUUGCCCGAGAAGGGGUACGAUGCGGCUUCAUACCCUUAGAGGUAUGAAGGCAGAGGACAUAUGCAUUGCAUUCAUAUGCAUUCAUUGAAGUGAUAUUUGCAGAUGAUGUGGUUUUAUACCCCCAGAGGUAUGAAGAUAGAGUACCUACACAUUGCAUUCCUAUGCAUACAUUGAAGUGAUAUUUGCAGGUAUUGUUGACGCAGGGAAGUGUUAUAGAACCUAUUGUGGUUGUUCGAGGAAAUGAGAUGGUAUUGGUUAUAGUGGGACUACUGAGUUCUAUAUCUACAAGCAUUUCUGAUUUUUAAUUGUGACUCUUUUAAAAUGUUGAUGAAUUCAAUUUGUGGUUUAAAUAUCUCGUCAGAACAAUUAGCUUGCUGAGAUGUUUCAUCUCACUCUUGCAUUACUCAAUGCAGGUGCUUGUUGCUCAUCAAGGGGAGUGGGAAGUAGCAGCACAUCCACCUUCAUUCUCAUAAUAAUGCUGCCCAGACGCAGCCAUGGUUUAAUUAGAAACUUCUUGUCAAAGGAUGUUUGUUUUUAACUAGUCGUGCGCACUGAUUAAUUCAGUUCAUGUUGUUAUGGUUGUCUUCCCAUUGCUAGCAGAUUAUUAAUGUCUUAUAUGUUUUCUUAUCAUGAUAUCUAUUUAUACUUUGUUGCUUCCCCCGUUUAUGCAAUUUUCAAAGGAGAUGCU